UACGUAGGGUGCGAGCGUUACUCGGAAUUACUGGGCGUAAAGCGCACGUAGGCGGGUUUGUAAGUAGGGGGUGAAAUCCCAGAGCUCAACUCUGGAACUGCCUUCUAAACUGCAAGCCUGGAGGUCAGGAGAGGCGAGUGGAAUACCGAGUGUAGAGGUGAAAUUCGUAGAUAUUCGGAAGAACACCAGUGGCGAAGGCGACUCGCUGGACAGACAUUGACGCUGAGGUGCGAAAGCGUGGGGAGCAAACAGG
rnacentral:rRNA from 1 species